GAAUUUGAAGGAAUUUUUCCGUUUUUAGUUUUACAGGUAUUUGUACCGUAUUUUCCAUUUUACGCAUUGCAUCAUGGGAACAAGAACCUUCGCGAAGCGCAAAAACUGGUCAGACGACAUUUCAAGCUCGAUAACCGGACCCUGGAACAUAUAUCUUUUGGACUUCGGUUGGAUUAAGAGACGGAGUUACCAUUCUGCCACCUCCCUGCUGCAUCCAGACACUCCUGAACUUUUCCUGGAAAGCAACUAGCAGGGCUUAAAAAAAAAUCCUGAGCCUGAAACUUGUAGUGGUGAUAGAAAUAAACUGUAUCAUUGCUAUUGCCACUUUUUUAAUAAAAAUUGUCUCUGAAUAGUGCGAACAAUACAAUUAACAAGAAAAACACUCAUACUUAACAGUGCAUUUUAACUCAAAACAAAAUGUAAGAUUAACCUUACAGGCAAAAAUCCCUCAACAAUAAAUAAGAGUCCUUUCUGUCAAUGAUUUUUUCAAGUAAUUUAUAACAUGCAACAUUCCCAACUAAAUGAAUAAGUUAUACAAAGCUGGCUAAAGGACUUAAUGUUUUUAUUUUUUAUCAUAACAUAGUCCUGUAAGAGAUCCAAACCACUUCUUUUUGAAUUUUUAACAGAGACGAUUUUAGUUGGAUUUGGAGAAGCGAAAUCUUUAAUCACUGCUACUUUGGAGGCUGAGGGUGUAGAAAGGACAGUUCUUGUUGACCCAGUAGUUUUGGUUGACUAGAGAAAAUGGGUGGUCCAAGAACAGUUUCUGCAGUUGAGUGAAGGAUACUAGUUGUUCCAGAUGAUGCUCUAAUGCAACCAUGUGCCCAGGCUGGAGCAGCAGAGGGGGCUAAGAGUCUAUUUGCCAAGAACACUAGAGGUUGUUUUGGUUGACUUUGAUGGUUGACUUAGAUGAGCAGGUUGGCUAAGUGCCCUGGAGGAAGUUUGAGCUGCAGACGAGGAGGAGGCUGUGCUUUUGUGAUUAUACAUCCUAAAUUUCUCUCUGGCUGGUCCUGGACUGUUCGCUGAUGCAGAAGGAGUUUUAUAUGCGCAUCCUAGUAAGACUUUAGUUGAAGCAGCUGCUUCAGUCAGCUUUUUAUGCCUGUUUGCAUGUUGCAUCUCCUUUUUCUUUUCCAUCUCUCUCUGAUAAGUCUGAUAUGCUAACAGACAUGAUCUUUUCAAUGGCUGGUCAAUAGUCAUGGUUGAAGCCGUCCACUGACUAGCCUUUAGGGUGGAUUUGAUUAUUGCAAGACCCUCAUACGUCUCAAUAUUCAUUGAGCAUCCAUCUGUCAUCCAUUAGAUUGAAAGAUCCUUCAACAAGUGGCCCCUUUAAAGAUGCUAAGCAAAGCUUUUACAAGCUUAUUAAGGACAGAAAAUCGUUCUCUUCCCUCCUGAUUUCUCAUAGACACAAUUGGGCUCCACCAGCCAACAUCAACACUUGAUUCCAUUUCAUUGUAGAGACGUGCCCGAGCAACCAGGUCAGCAUCAAUUUGGUAAGCCCGUACCUCUUCAUCAAGGUUGCCAAGCUCUUCUGGUGCAACAACAUUUGGUAAGGUCCUACCCAAGGUAUUUAAUGCUGUACAAACAGAGUCCUGGAUUAGAGAUGGACUGAGUGCAGACAGUGAUGUGAGUGUACUGUUAUUCAGAGGAAGGUUUUUUAGCAGAAACUCUGCUGCUUUCAUAUAUCCUUCUCUAAGGUUGCUGUAGACAGUCGAAACCCAUGCCUUCUUUUCAGCGCGUGCGUUGUUUAUCUUAGAGAAGCAGUACUGUCCAACACCCAGCCUCUUGUCUGAUAAGUGCAAGUCUCUACAACGCACAUCUGUUUUCAAGACCUCCUUCACACUUAGCCCAAUUGAGUGUGGUUUCAUAAACAUACUGAGUAGCUCCCUAACCACAGCAAACAUCUCAACAUGCAAUAAGUGCACCAUUGGCUUUUCAUGCUGCAGCUUCUUCAGAAAUUUCAGAAAAAUGGGAAGGACACCUGUGGGAGAAAGAAUAUUUCUGUUAAGCAAUUUACUGACAUCAUAUGUGCCACACCUGCAUGAGGAUGAUUUAAGGAAACCAAUUGAUUUAAAAUAUACCUAAUUGGUUAAUAUCACUACAAAAAUAUUGAUACAUCACCCUAUGUCAUAAGAGGACUUAAAAGGAAAGUUACAUAAUAGUAGCAGAAAUGUCAAACCCAUGUGUGGUACAAGCACACAGACUAGGCCUGUGAUCUUCAAUUUACUAAAGGCUUUAUAUGUUCAAGUUGGACAUUUCAUCUUGAUGCUGCAGGUUCAGCCAUAAAAAUACCCAAAUAUUAAUAUUUCAUCAAUAUCAGUAGAUUACUAUAACACUGAAAUGUCCAAACUCUAAAGAUCUAUCAUACAUUAAGUCCAUUUAUUUGUUCCAUUUACAUGUCCUGCUAAUAAUCAAUAAUACUUCUGAAGAUGUCAAAAAUAACCCUCAAUCUUUCAUAUUCUGUAAAGACCACACAAAUCUGUGCUUUCCUAUCUUUGUUUGCUUGAGUUCCUGUACAAGAAGCUGCGGUUUGCUGCUGUUGAAGAAGUUCUAUUCUUUCCCUUUCCUCAACAGAUACUGCGUUUCUCUGAAGUACCUGAGUGAUCAGCAAUCUGCAGCACACACACACCUCUUAAUCAGUAAAAUGAAAACUAUUAAUUGCUAAACAAAACAUCAUUGAACAUUUGUUUUUAUAUAUUUAUCACUGUCAAGUUAAAACAGCAAAUUUGUGAGUGCAUUACCAUCUCCACUCAACUGGCACGCGCCUCACAGGAAAUCAAGCGCACCAAUUUCUCUCACUCAGGCCUUCAGGAGCCUAUAAAGCAACUCGGCACACCUGUGUUCUGAAUAAUCCCUUCAGACAAAGAACUCAGCUUCAAGCUCCUACAGAGACACCACUGGUUUUCAACCUGCUUGGUGACCACUCUGUGUCCACUCUGACCACUCAAAUAAAAUUAUGGUGGUCUUGUAUUGUAAACGGAAGUAAUUUAAAGACAAAAGAAAAGAGAAAUAAAAGGAUGUCACUGAGAUGAGUUGUUCCUGCGUCUCUUUGAUGGGAGCAAGCCUUUUUCAAGUUUGGGCAGAAGCCGAGGCGGUUUGAAGGGCCCCAAAAACUUGAUAGUUGAAAACCAGUUGAAGACCACUUGGAAACCAGUUGGGAACCAACUGAAGACCAGAUGACAGUGAAAUUCUGAUAAAGGAGAGCUUCGACGAACCAACUCAAAGAGGACAUCAGGUCAUCGCAGCUUUACAAAUCCACAAUGGCUGAAGAAAUGUUUGGAAAAUCACUGAAACAAUUGAAGCUGGAUCGCACCAUGGCAAAAUCUUCCUUCACCAAGCAAGCAAACUUCCUGAGAAGAAAAGCUUCCAACAUGACGGAAAUGGAACUGCGAGAGGAGUUCAAAAAGCUAAGCUCUGAUGCCAGACAUGUAAGUGAUUCAAAUGAUGAUUACAAAGCUGGACUAUUAGCAGAGCUGGAAGAUGAAGCUGGUGAGCUUGAUAAACAGCAAGAAGCUGAUUUKGAAAAGACUAUUAAUGACUGUGAAUCAAAAUUAGAAGAAGUCAAACAAAUUGUUCAGUCUAAUUUGUGGAAAAAAUAUGGUCAAGAUGAGCUCUAUACUGCAAUCCAAGAGGCAGAAAAGGCAUGUAGUGUUGCUUCUGACAUAGAAGUCUUAACUGUGAACAAAAGUGCAUAUGAAGUGCAGCUGUCUUGUGGAGAAUAUGAUCCAGGAAUCUAUUAAGUUUUGUGACCUGGGAAAUAUGGAUUCCAGUACAAGAAAGGGACAAUAUAGAAGACAGAGUAAAACAAAUUAAAUUGAUGAAAAAUAAACUUCAAACAAGAAAAUCGCAGGCUGCA